AUACGUAGGGUGCAAGCGUUAAUCGGAAUUACUGGGCGUAAAGCGUGCGCAGGCGGUUUUGUAAGACAGAGGUGAAAUCCCCGGGCUCAACCUGGGAACUGCCUUUGUGACUGCAAGGCUACAGUACGGCAGCGGGGGAUGGAAUUCCGCGUGUAGCAGUGAAAUGCUUAGAUAUGCGGAGGAACACCGAUGGCGAAGGCAAUCACCUGCUCCUAGACUGACGCUCAUGCCAGCAGGCGUGGGGAGCAAACAUGAUGAGAUGCCCUGAUAGUGCACGCCCUAAACGAUGUGAACUGGUAGGUGGGUAGUCAUUGUACCAGUAACGUAGCUAACACAUGAAGAAUAUAGGCUGGUGAGUCCGGCAGUAAGGUUGAAACUCAAACAAAUUGAGGGGG
rnacentral:rRNA from 1 species